GCGCUUUUAGCUCAGUUGGUAGAGCAGCGGACUCUUAAUCCGCGUGUCCAGGGUUCGAGCCCCUGAAGGCGCA
rnacentral:tRNA from 10 species